rnacentral:rRNA from 1 species
GACGAACGCUGGCGGCGUGCUUAACACAUGCAAGUCGAACGGUAAGGCCCUUCGGGGUACACGAGUGGCGAACGGGCGAGUAACACGUGGGUGAUCUGCCCUGCACUUCGGGAUAAGCCUGGGAAACUGGGUCUAAUACCGGAUAGGACCCUGGGAUGCAUGUCCUGGGGUGGAAAGCUUUUGCGGUGUGGGAUGGGCCCGCGGCCUAUCAGCUUGUUGGUGGGGUGAUGGCCUACCAAGGCGACGACGGGUAGCCGGCCUGAGAGGGUGACCGGCCACACUGGGACUGAGAUACGGCCCAGACUCCUACGGGAGGCAGCAGUGGGGAAUAUUGCACAAUGGGCGCAAGCCUGACGCAGCGACGCCGCGUGAGGGAUGACGGCCUUCGGGUUGUAAACCUCUUUCAGCACCGACGAAGCGCAAGUGACGGUAGGUGCAGAAGAAGGACCGGCCAACUACGUGCCAGCAGCCGCGGUAA